AUCCCUGCAAUUCUAGAGCUUCUGGCAUAAUAUUAGUCAUCCUAUGUGGCAAAAUAUAUCCUACAUGGCAUAUCUUACUUUAAUUCUUAAAACACAAAAUUAAGUAUCUCUCCUCCCCAAAUUCAAUUCCCCUCAACCACCUCCCGUCUCCACACUACUCUCCCCUCCCCCGUCUGAAUCAGCGCCGCCCCUCCUUCCUCCGCCGUGAAUCCCUCCCCUUCGUUUAUCUAUUAUUUCUGCAGCUCCACACCAGCCUCUCCCCUCUCCCGCGGCGAUUACUCCGGCCCCAACUCGGCACCGUGGCCCCUCCUUCCUGUUUCCACGUAGCAAUUUCUCCCUCUCUUCCGCCGCGAUUCGCGUCACCGCCGCUGCCGCAAUCGCCAGAGAUCUACUCCGAUCUGCCACCGCGGCCCCUUCUUCCUGUCUCCGCGUAGCAAUUUCUCCCUCUCUUCCGUCGCGAUUCGCGUCAACGCCGCUACCGCAAUCGCCAGAGAUCUGCUCCGAUCUGCCUCCCACUCCACCAAUUUCUUCAUUCUGCCUCCCGCUGCGAUUCGCUUCGCCGCGCCGGCCACCGCCGAGAUCGACACAGUCCGCCACCUCGCCAUGAAUGCCAAACUCUGCCCCGCCACCACCGUCGUCGUCGCCCAUCCUCGCCGUUGCUGCUUCACAGCCUCAUCGAACUCUCCCCACCAAUUUGCAAUUAGGUAACCACAAGAAAAAUGAAGACAAAGAGCCCCUUAGUAAAAAUUUUGAACGCGGCAACAGGUAAAGCAAGGUUUUUACUUUGGCUGAGGUCUCCAAGCACAGCACCAACAAGGACUAUUGGCUCUUAAUUGGGGGAAGAUCUUGGAUGUAGCAUAUGAUAUGGAUUUUGAGGUGAUGUUAUAGUGAUGAUGUGGAUUUUGAUUCUUUCAACAGUUUCAGUUAGCAUAACUAUGCUCUACUCACUACUGAUUUUCUUGAUAGGUUGGACCCUGGUCUGUACUUUAAAUUUAUGUUUUUCUUAUUUAUAGAUGGUCUUCUUUAAUUUCUUCAUGCAUCCCCCUUCCCCAUCCAAACCAAGUGUGCAAUUUAUGCGGGUGACAUUUUCCCAAAAUUUGUAGGAAGAAGCAGGAAGCCUCAAAUUUGUAUGCAUGUCCAAUGAUGGUGUUGAUAAACACAUGAUCUGGCUGAUAUGAUUGAAAAACAUCUUUGCCAUGCAACUUCCUAAUAUGCCGAGAGAAUACAUUGUACGUCUCCUAAUGGACAGACGUGCCCCUGGUUUUGAACCUUUUCUGUAAAGCUUAUGUGCAAUUAUUCAAUUAGCUUCUUUUUAUGUUGCUGGUUUUUGGUCAUUUAUUCCAUUAGCGUAAGAACAAAGCUGUGUUGGUUAAUGCUUAGUUGGUUAUCUGUUGUUAUCUCACAAUAAAUGAGAACGUAUCAACAAUAGUUGGCAGUUAGAGAUGAUUGAAUUUUUUUUGCAUUAGAUUGAUUUAUCAAUCUGUUGGUUGGCAUCUAUGUUUAUAAAAGUUUUGAGUUAUACAA